rnacentral:rRNA from 1 species
CGGGGGAUACCCGCUGAACUUAAGCAUAUCAAUAAGCGGAGGAAAAGAAACCACCGGGGAUNGCCUCAGUAACGGCGAGUGAAGCGGCAACAGCUCAAAUUUGAAAUCUGGCCCCCCGGGUCCGAGUUGUAAUUUGAAGAGGAUGCCUCGCGAAACGGCGCCGCCCCAAGUUCCCUGGAACAGGACGCUACAAAGGGUGACAGCCCCGUAUCCGGGCGGCGACCCGCCGCGUGUGAGGCUCCUUCGACGAGUCGAGUUGUUUGGGAAUGCAGCCCUAAUCGGGAGGUAAGUUUCUUCUAAAGCUAAAUAUCGGCCGGAGACCGAUAGCGCACAAGUAGAGUGAUCGAAAGAUGAAAAGCACUUUGAAAAGAGAGUUAAAAAGCACGUGAAAUUGUUGAAAGGGAAGCGCUCGCGACCAGACUCGGCCGCGGUGGAUCAGCCUUCGCUCCGCGUUGGCGCACUCCUCCGCGGCCGGGCCAGCGUCGGUUCGGGCGGCCGGACAAAGGCGGCGGGAACGUAGCUCCCCUCGGGGAGUGUUAUAGCCCGCCGUGGAAUACGGCCAGCCCGGAUCGAGGACCGCGCUUCGGCUAGGACGCUGGCGUAAUGGUCGUGAGCGGC